rnacentral:rRNA from 1 species
GGUUACGUCAAGACUCACGGUUAUUAACCGUAGGCUUUCUUCUCUACUGAAAGUGCUUUACAACCCGCAGGCCUUCUUCACACACGCGGCAUUGCUGGAUCAGGCUUGCGCCCAUUGUCCAAUAUUCCCCCAC